GAAACCCGAAAGAUCGAAUGGGGAGACUCAUCGUCAUCACGGAGUUGGCUUCCAUGCGUUUUGCGAUGUUUGGGACGGUGCGUUUCGCGCGUACUCGUUGAUUUCACGCGAACGCUGUGGUUAUGUCCGGCUACGUCGGCGUGCACUUCUCCCCUAGUAGAACGUCGCGACCCGCUGGGUGUCGGUUUAAGGGCCGAGAUCGCGUAGACUGUUCCGUUGCCUCGCGGCGUACGGUGACAGACGCUUCGGUUUCCCCGACCGACUGCUCGGCGGUAGACAUAUGGUACCGAGCCGCACACACAUUGAAUGCGUUCAGACUCGUCGCAAGCCCGACCAUUUACCCGGCAGCGCGGACCAAGUGCCGUCACCGGGGUUGGUCAGCUGUUGGCCGACGAUGUUCUCGAACCGGCUUACAUUGGUUACCGGUCGGCGGCGCUAUUGCUUUGGGUACUUUCAGGACCCGUCUUGAAACACGGACCAAGGAGUCUAACAUGUGCGCGAGUCAUUGGGAUGUUAAAACCUAAAGGCGCAUUGAAAGAGAAGAUCGGCCUCGCGUCGAUCGAGGGAGGAUGGGCGGCGUUUGUAUGCCGCUCCGCACUCCCGGGGCGUCUCGUUGUCAUUGCGACUUGAGGCGCACCCAGAGCGUACACGUUGGGACCCGAAAGAUGGUGAACUAUGCCUGGUCAGGAUGAAGUCAGGGGAAACCCUGAUGGAGGUCCGCAGCGAUUCUGACGUGCAAAUCGAUCGUCGGAAC
rnacentral:rRNA from 1 species